GGGAGGGGGUGGGGAGGACAGGUGAGGACGUCGGCUGCGGGGAGGGAGUGGCAGCUACUGGGUGCGGCGGCGGCGGCGUGUGAUGGCGCGGGAGGGGAGUGGGACCGGGUUAAGUUAGGUUGGGGCGCGCGUGUGGCGACGUCGGCGGUAGCUGGGGAAGGAGCGUUGGUACCGUAAGCGCGAGGGGGCGGGAGCGGUGACGGAGGAGCUGCCACAAGGGGAGGAAGAGUCGGCGGAAGCGCCGCGGCUCCCCGGCGCGGCGGCACCGAUCCUCUCAGAGCGAGGCACCCCGGCGUGGGCGCUGGAUGAUGGGGUGCUGGACGAGAGUGGAAUGUCGUGACCCUCGACGGUCUAGGCGCCUUAGGGGGUGGGUAGGUCGGGAGAGGUUGGGUACCGAUCCCAAAGCCAGAGGGAGUUUAACAAGUUGGAGCGGAGUGUAUGAGGGGGAAGGAGGGUCUAGGUGGUCCGGCGUGAGGAGGGUACCGUAGGUACCGCGCCCAGUGGGAUGUCGUCGACUAUACACUGCUCGCUCCGUCCCUUCUACACAAGGAAGAGUACCAGAUGUCACGUAGAGCGUAAGGUACUGGAGGAACCGCUCUACAUGCGCUGAAGAAGUCGUGCAUGUUGCUGUGCACCGUCACUUCUAGUUUUCGACGUCGCCAUGUUGGUGCCAACACUAUUCUCUUCCUGCUGGGGAAGGGAAGGAACGAUCGGUCGACAAGACUAAACUCAACCAGGUUAGACUAGGUUAGGCCGGUACAUCAAACCAACAUUGUAUCCUCUCCCUAUGGACGUCAACUCAAAGUCAAACCUGUCGUAAACUGUGUGUAAUAACCCCCUAAACCAAAUGAAGUCAAACAUACACGCAAGGAUUUUAACUUUUACUUUAACCAAACCACAAUUUAAGGGUGUUUGGUUAGACGUUGUAAAAAUAAGCUGAACAUGACGUAGUCGUUGAAUUUAAACAGACAAAAUAAAUGGUUUAGACAUCUCCGAACUAUCUAUAGUUAAAGUGGGAUGACAAUCAAACGAACGAGGCCCAGAACACCCCAACCCCUCACAACCCAGGGGUGAGACGGCUCGGCGUUGUUCGACCGACCCCCUCGUGAUGACAAAUCAUCAUGUAAUAACGGUGGGCAGUCCAAAUAUGAUAACAAAUGAUCUAGUUUGAACUAGGUACGAGGAUAACCAUAAUCCACUAGUACAUCCAGUUCAAUAUAAUGUCGACCUACGAAUUAAAGAAUGAUAGGGACUAGGUACGAGGAUAUCUCAACAAAGACCGUAUGUCCUACCCUUGCCUCUUUACCGAACCAAACAACUGCGAAAAUAACGAAAUGAUUCAUGGGCAUGUUAAGAAGGUAUUCACUUUCUUUAAAGAUUUAUGUCAAGAAGUUGUUCACAAAACUGUAAGUCAAUUAAACUGUCCACCGAUACCUUGGAACCUCCUCAACGAAUUCAGUAGUGCACCCGUGUUGAUCCUCAUUUGUUCUUCGGCUUUACGCACAUGUCUCUAAACGUUGGACUUCCUCGCUACCUUCACUUCUAACUCACGAAAAGACAUUCUAAUUAUUAUCUACCAUAUAAAAAACCAAAACUAAAUUCUCACAAGCUAGACCAUGUAUCACGUAAACAAAUCAGAGUUUUAAAGUCACAAUAAAGAGAUAAAGAGCAUAAUAAGUGUGAUGCAGUAACCACUUUCGUAGGACUUUUCUUAUUAAUUUGUUACCACACGAUUUAAUUUGAUUUUACAAACGAAUGAUGUGGUGGUGUAAUCGGUAGUUUAAACACUAUUCUUUUGACUUUGGAGAAGAAGGAUUUCCUCUCCAGUCCAGGAACGAACGCUCUCAGCUAGAUAAAUAGACGUAACACUUCAUUGUUGCCAAGAAACCAGGUACAAUUCUACAGUUCUUUGACAAACAAACAACUUUGUUGGUAGUCAGUGAGAGUUCUAUGACGACUGACUAAAGACAACGAUCAUAUCAAGUUCGAAGAAACGGUACAUAAAGUAAUCCUACACUUGUUAGAUGACGUACGAGUGUUUCGAUAUCCGAAGUUAAAAAACAAACAAACGACAGUUAUAAACGGUUCGAUAAAUUUGCUACUACUGUUUGACUUUAGUACUUAUGAGUAUAUCUUUGAACUUGUCGGUAGAACAAAUUAAACCACUACAAGGAGGUACGAUUCUCGAUUAGACGACGUAACAAUAAGUUGAAAGUAACUGUCAAAAUCAAAACGACUUUAGUACAAAAGAAAAGAUACGAAUACAGACACCUGUUUGUGAUGAUCGAGGUCUUCCUGCCUAUAAUGGUAGUUCAUGCGGUAGCUCCACUUACCUCGAACACAACAACCAUCUUGAGGCAACUACUGAAGAAAGAUACAAAUUCUCGUACAAAACACCAUAGGUUCUCAUCGCCAAAUAAACAUCUAGGGUUAUAAAUACUAACACACCUAGAUUAACUUCAAACUUCAAGGACCCAUACGUUCUAAGUUACCACUUUGUCCAACAACACUACACUUACUCACAUACCUUCGACCAACAACACUACACUUACUCACAUACAUCAAAGUCCACAAAACAAGACAUAUCGUAUAACAUUAUUUGAAUAAAAUCGAUAAUAAACUUCUAAAAGU
rnacentral:rRNA from 1 species